UGUGAUUCUAGGCAUUGCUCAGAUGUCUUGUUCCAGGAAGUGACUUCCAAUCUUCUUUGAACUAUGAAAGCAUAUAGCAGAUCCUGACUUUCCUUAUUGAAACUAUUGGAAAGAACCAAAACAAAACUUGUUUUAUUCAUCCUUCCUGUCCUACGAUUCAUCCUUCAAGUGGCAUCUUCACAGCAGGCUCAUGAAGCAAUCAACACAUGCUCAGAAGAAUUGGUCUUGACUACGAAGAAAGCAGUUUCAGGGCCAGAGCUGACUUGCAGCUGAGUUCCUCUGGUGUGGAACAGCCUACCUGUCUGCCUGGGAGCAGCCACAUCACCACUGUCCUCCAGCAUGCAGGUACAUGGACUGAUAAAACACAGGCAGCAGGCUGCUCUUCCAAAAGCCGUGGAAAGAGGAUCAUGGAAGGAGAAAACCGCAGCUGACUGUGCUCACAAGCCCUCCAUGCCCUAUUGAUUUUGCAUGAUGAUGGGAACCCUAUGCCUGGACCCAGGAUUGUAACUCCUGUGCUGCAGGGAUGAGUGAGGAGAUACAGCACUCCUGGCUCUGGGCCAUGGCUGCGUUGGGCAGGGCACGUCUCCAGGAUGCAGGACUAUCGCCUCCCUAAGAUCGUGCUCUAUGGGGAACUUGCCACUGGCUGCCGCAAGAGAGGAGCCCGAAGAGAAGAUACAAGGACUGCCUGAAACAAUCCCUCAGCCUUGGCCAUAUUGAUCACCACCAUUGGUCUACCCUGGCCUCCAAUCGGGAGGCCUGGAGACACACCAUCUAUAACGCUGCUGCUGCUUUUGAGAACACACGCAGGAUCACUCUCGAGGAGAAAAGACAACGCAGAAAGAAUUGCGUCUCGUCUGUAUCACCUGGGGAGUCUUUCUGCUGUGCCUUCUGCAACCGGACUUGUCUAUCUCGCAUUGGCCUUUUUAGCCAUCAGCGCGCUUGUAGCAAGCGUGGGUAGAGCCCUCCUUAAAUCUUCAUUCGCGAAGCCUAUUCAUGAGUGAUGAGACACUGCCCAAAUAACCAAGUAAUCUUGAGUUUGCUGCUUUAAGGAAAACUGCCUACAGAAAAGUAAUAGCAGGAG